ensembl:snRNA U1 U1 spliceosomal RNA
AUACUUACCCGGCAAGGGAGAUACUGUGAUCAAGAAGGUAGGAAGAGGGCGAGGCUCAGCUAUUGCACUCUGGCUGUGCAGAUCCCUGCAAAUUCAACAAAUGGGGCAGUGUAAUGCUAUAGGAC